CCGGAUUAGAUACCCGGGUAGUCCUGGCCGUAAACGAUGCGGGCUUUGCAUUGGGGGUCCUACGAGGGCGCUCAGUGCCGAAGCGAAGGCGUUAAGCCCGCCGCCUGGGAAGUAUGGUCGCAAGGCUGAAACUUAAAGGAAUUGGCGGGGGAGCACCGCAAUGGGAGGAGCGUGCGGUUUAAUUGGAUUCAACGCCGGAAAACUCACCGGGGGCGACUGUCACAUGUGGGUCAGGCUGAAGACCUUACCCGAAUAAAAGACAGAGAGGUGGUGCAUGGCCGCCGUCAGCUCGUACCGUAAGGCGUUCUGUUAAGUCAGAUAACGAGCGAGACCCCUGCUCUUAGUUGCUAUCUCGGAGUCCGCUCCGGGAGCACACUAACAGGACCGCUGGUGAUAAACCAGAGGAAGGAGGGGGCAACGGUAGGUCAGUAUGCCCUGAAUCCCCCGGGCUACACGCGCGCUACAAAGGCCGAGACAAUGGGUUGCGACCCCGAAAGGGGAAGCUAAUCUCAAAACUCGGUCCUAGUUCGGAUUGAGGGCUGUAACUUGCCCUCAUGAAGCUGGAUUCCAUAGUAAUCGCGGAUCAACAUUCCGCGGUGAAUAUGCCCCUGCUCCUUGCACACACCGCCCGU
rnacentral:rRNA from 1 species